UACAGAGGGUGCGAGCGUUGUCCGGAAUCACUGGGCGUAAAGGGCGCGUAGGUGGCGAGCCAAGUCCAUGGUGAAAGCUCGAUGCUCAACAUCGAGUCGGCCACGGAUACUGGUGCGCUUGAGCACUGUAGAGGCUAAUGGAAUUCCGGGUGUAGCGGUGGAAUGCGUAGAGAUCCGGAAGAACACCGGUGGCGAAGGCGGCCUGCUGGGCAGUUGCUGACGCUGAGGCGCGACAGCGUGGGGAGCAAACAGG
rnacentral:rRNA from 1 species